GAUGAACGCUGGCGGCGUGCUUAACACAUGCAAGUCGAACGAAGCAUUUAGAACAGAUUAUUUCGGCAUGAAGUUCUUUAUGACUGAGUGGCGGACGAGUGAGUAACGCGUGGGUAACCUGCCUUGUACUGGGGGAUAGCAGCUGGAAACGGCUGGUAAUACCGCAUAAGCGCACAAUGUUGCAUGACCUGGUGUGAAAAACUCCGGUGGUAUAAGAUGGACCCGCGUCUGAUUAGCUAGUUGGUGAGAUAACAGCCCACCAAGGCGACGAUCAGUAGCCGACCUGAGAGGGUGACCGGCCACAUUGGGACUGAGACACGGCCCAGACUCCUACGGGAGGCAGCAGUGGGGAAUAUUGCACAAUGGAGGAAACUCUGAUGCAGCGACGCCGCGUGAGUGAAGAAGUAAUUCGUUAUGUAAAGCUCUAUCAGCAGGGAAGAUAGUGACGGUACCUGACUAAGAAGCUCCGGCUAAAUACGUGCCAGCCGCCGCAGUAA
rnacentral:rRNA from 1 species